rnacentral:rRNA from 1 species
GGAAUAUUGGACAAUGGGCGAAAGCCUGAUCCAGCGACGCCGCGUGUGUGAAGAAGGCCUGCGGGUUGUAAAGCACUUUCGAUGGGAACGAAAUGUGCCGGGUUAAUACCCCGGCAAGCUGACGUUACUCAAUGAAGAAGCACCGGCUAACUCUGUGCCAGCAGCCGCGGUAAUACAGAGGGUGCGAGCGUUAAUCGGAAUUACUGGGCGUAAAGCGCACGUAGGUGGCGACGUAAGUCGGGUGUGAAAGCCCCGGGCUCAACCUGGGAAUUGCAUUCGAGACUGCAUUGCUGGAGUACGGAAGAGGAGGGCGGAAUUCCCGGUGUAGCGGUGAAAUGCGUAGAUAUCGAGAGGAACACCAGUGGCGAAGGCGAGUCUCUGGACGACACCUGACACUGAGGCACGAAAGCCAGGGGAGCAAAC